AUUCUGCCCAAGCGGGGAAGGAUGAGAAGCUUCGACCAAGGUUCGACUUGAGCGCCAGCGAGAGAGCGUUGCCGCAGGCAACGACCCGAAGGGCGAAGCGCGCAGC
rnacentral:sRNA from 1 species